GGCGGAGUGUCCGAGUGGUUUAGGACGUGGCCUGCAAAGCCUCGCACGUGGGUUCGAUUCCCGCCUCCGCCU
rfam:Actinospica robiniae DSM 44927 genomic scaffold ActroDRAFT_ARA.1, whole genome shotgun sequence.